rnacentral:rRNA from 1 species
UACAGAGGUCCCAAGCGUUGUUCGGAUUCACUGGGCGUAAAGUGUGCGCAGGUGGCCGCGCAAGUCGAGUGUGAAAUCCCCGAGCUUAACUUGGGGAAUUGCGCUCGAAACUACGUGGCUAGAGUGUGACAGAGGGAGGUGGAAUUCCACGUGUAGCGGCGAAAUGCGUAGAGAUGUGGAGGAACACCAAUGGCGAAGGCAGGCCUCCUGGGCCAACACUGACACUCGAUGCACGAAAGCGUGGGGAGCAAACAGGAUU